UCCCUCUCAGGAUUGCACCUGGAAAGUUUGCAGUACUCUGCCAGCCUCAGUUAUGGGAGGGAGAGUCAAGCAGAGGCACAUCCAUUCCAUUCCUAGCUUGGACAGUGGCUAGUGAGUGGAAGACAAUCUGCUACAGGU